GCCUGGAUGGCUCAAUCGGUGAAGCAUCUGACUCUUGGUUUCAGCUCAGGUCAUGAUCUCACAGCUUUGUGGGUUCGAGCCCCAUAUCGGGCU
rnacentral:tRNA from 1 species